rnacentral:lncRNA from 1 species
GCAGGUACUGUACAUACAAAAUCUAAAGAGACAGUUGUGCAACUCAUUACAUUUCUUUAUGUCAUCUACUUUGAUAAGUUACUCAUUUCAGUGGGUGUUCAUCACAUUUCAGAUAGCAGCAAUAAAUAGGCAUUUUACUUCUCAGAAAACGUUAUUUUAGAUAGCCACAUUAAUCAAUACAAAAUUAAUUUUUAACAGCACUGGAGUAACAUAACCCAUAAGUUAUUAAAGUUUGAUCAAAGAAUCUGAAAAUUUAAUAUUGGACCUCUUUGUGCCAACCUAAGACUGAGUGAUUUGCAGGGUCUCCAACAUGUCUUCCACUGCUUUCAGGGAGUAUUUAGUUUCUUUCUUACUGCGACCUGCAAACUGGUAGGCUCUAUUUAUUUGAUUCGCCGCCCAGCUGGCAUAUUUCAUAUUAUCUUUUUUCAUUUUUGCACUUGCUUUUGGAUUGGAGGCAAUAUGGCUUGCAGACAUGUAAAGCCCAAACAAAGCUCUCAUAUUUCUAUUGUUAAGUUUCAGUGCUUGUGCAAAAUAUUUUCUUGAUAGCUCGAGGUUUUCAAGCCCCCCUUGAGUAUAUUUAACUUCAGCAUAUUGCUGACAAUAUAAGUGGUUGUGUGGAUUAGCCAUCAUAAGCUCCUCUAAGCAGAAGGCUGCUUUUGCAUAGUCAUGUUCGUUGAUGUAAAGUUCUGCAAGUUCAUGCCAAGCUUCCUGGUCUCCAACAAAUUGUUCCAGAUACUCAUUCAGCUCUCGGAUGGCCUCAAGAUUUUUCCCCUGGGCUUUUCGAAUGGCAAUCUUACGCUUCCUUGCUGCUGUAUUGGUUGCAUCCUCCUGUAAAAUUCUAUCAUAUAAUUGGAUGGCAUCAUCGUACCUUUCCAUAGCUUCAAAUCUCAUUCCAGUUAAUCGCUUAACUCUAUGGCUCCCAGGAAACUGCCUCCUUAGUUCCUGAAGGCAAAACAGUGCCAAAUCAUCUCGACUGCAGUCCAGGGCAGCAAUCAUCACCUGUUCGUAUAUUAUCCAAAUGUCAUCUCCAAGCUUAGACGCAUAUUCAUUAAUUAACUCUUCUCCAACAUCCACUAUCUGCUCACUGUUUCGGUAGUUUUCUUCCCUCCAUUUCCUCAUUUUAUCACGCAUAUCUUCCCAGGUCACGUCGUACAUCUCCGAGACCUUCGCCAUCUUGGCGGCCGCCCGCG